AUUUAAGUAGCUUAUUUGAGCAUUGUGUUGAAGCUACAAGGGAGGGCAUAGCCCCUUAAAUA
rnacentral:tRNA from 1 species